CGCAGCGGGCAGAGGCGGUGUCGUACCCCAUGAAGUGUUGACUGAGGGGCGACUAUUGCUAGUUGAAAACUUAUAAUACCCAGCCUGGAUGAUCGUGUACAAGUGUAUACACUGAACAAAAGUGCAACUGCAUAUGCA